AGCAGCCGCGGUAAUUCCAGCUCCAAUAGCGUAUAUUAAAGUUGUUGCAGUUAAAAAGCUCGUAGUUGAAUUUCGGGACUAACAGGUUGGUCGCGCCUUUGGUGUGUACUGGCCUAGUUGGUUUCUCCCUUCUGACGAACCACGAUGUCAUUAAUUUGGUGUCGUGGGAAAUCAGGACUGUUACUUUGAAAAAAUUAGAGUGUUUAAAGCAAGCGCUAGCUUGAAUACAUUAGCAUGGAAUAAUGAAAUAGGACGUUUGACCCUAUUUUGUUGGUUUCUAGGAUCGACGUAAUGAUUAAUAGGGAUAGUUGGGGGCAUUAGUAUUCAAUUGUCAGAGGUGAAAUUCUUGGAUUUAUUGAAGACUAACUA
rnacentral:rRNA from 1 species